rnacentral:rRNA from 1 species
CACGUCGGGAGUGAAAACCCGGGGCUCAACCCCAGGCCUGCUUCCGAUACGGGCGGACUAGAGGUAGGCAGGGGAGAGUGGAAUUCCUGGUGUAGCGGUGAAAUGCGCAGAUAUCAAGAGGAACACCGAUGGCGAAGGCAGGUCUCUGGGCCAUAACUGACGCUGAGAAGCGAAAGCAUGGGGAGCAAACAGGAUUAGAUACCCUGGUAGUCCAUGCCGUAAACGUUGGGCGCUAGGUGUGGGGCUCAUUCCACGAGUUCCGUGCCGCAGCUAACGCAUUAAGCGCCCCGCCUGGGGAGUACGGCCGCAAGGCUAAAACUCAAAGGAAUUGACGGGGGCCCGCACAAGCGGCGGAGCAUGCGGAUUAAUUCGAUGCAACGCGAAGAACCUUACCAAGGCUUGACAUGCACCGGACGACUGCAGAGAUGUGGUUUCCCUUUGUGGCUGGUGUGCAGGUGGUGCAUGGUUGUCGUCAGCUCGUGUCGUGAGAUGUUGGGUUAAGUCCCGCAACGAGCGCAACCCUCGUUCCAUGUUGCCAGCGGGUUAUGCCGGGGACUCAUGGGAGACUGCCGGGGUCAACUCGGAGGAAGGUGGGGAUGACGUCAAAUCAUCAUGCCCCUUAUGUCUUGGGCUUCACGCAUGCUACAAUGGCUGGUACAGAGGGCUGCAAUACCGUGAGGUGGAGCGAAUCCCUUAAAACUGGUCUCAGUUCGGAUUGGGGUCUGCAACUCGACCCCAUGAAGUCGGAGUCGCUAG